rnacentral:tRNA from 1 species
AAAAAGAUAAGCUAAUAUUAAGCUAAUGGGUUCAUACCCCAUUUAUGAAAUGAAAUUCUCUUUUUA